UUGGUCUUCAUCUCGGCUCGCAUCUCCUCGAUAACACUGGUGAGACCACCGAGCUGCCCUUCUAUCGCAGUGAUUCGAUCAGCGUUGGAAUCCUGCUUAGGAGGCAUUUAUGGGCUCUGAUACCAAUGAAAAACUAGGGUUUAUCUGUAGCAGAAAGGGGGUGAGAAAGAGAGAGAAGAUAAGAUUUGUUUAGUUGAUCAUUUGAUAUCCCCAAAUGUUUACAACUCGAGAUUAAAUAAUACAAGACUCGCAUAAUUA
rnacentral:lncRNA from 1 species